rnacentral:rRNA from 1 species
CAAUAGCGUAUAUUAAAGUUGUUGUGGUUAAAAAGCUCGUAGUUGGAUCUCGGCGGUCUGAGGGCGGUUCGCUUGAUUGAGUGCUACUGCUCUAUAGGCCGUGGUUUUGCCAGAGGUCUCGGGGUGCUCUUAACCGAGUGUCCUGCGAUGCUGGCAGGUUUACUUUGAAAAAAUUAGAGUGCUCAAAGCAGGCUUUUACGCCUGAAUAUUCGUGCAUGGAAUAAUAGAAUAGGAAGUCGUUUCUAUUUUGUUGGUUUUCGGAAAUCGACUUAAUGAUUAAUAGGGACAGUCGGGGGCAUUUGUAUUCAAACGACAGAGGUGAAAUUCUUGGACCGUUUGAAGACAAACUACUGCGAAAGCAUUUGCCAAGAAUGUUUUCAUUAAUCAAGA